rnacentral:lncRNA from 10 species
CUUUGCCAUAAAUGCAAUAGCUGGGGCACUUCCCUCUCCCUUGAGGGAAGACGAUGAGAAAUUUCUACUGAAGAUCUAAAAAUCACAGCCGAGAGAAAAAGAGCCUCUGGAGAGAGAACUCAGUAAGCGUGUUUUCAUCUCUGAAGCUUUCCCAUUGGGCCCUUGACGUGCUCUUGGAUUUUCCAGAAUAGCCUAGCUCCGGAAUGGGCAGGAGCCUGGAUUGGGCAAGUCUUAAUGAGUAUGAACCAACGAAAUUGAGGAGAGAUUUGCUUAGAGCUUCUGGGAAACAGAAGUCAAUGUCUGUGUUUCUCCCUCCUUCUCCUGCUACCCCUAUCACUUGGGGAAGAGUGAAGCAUGUUGCUCUGUUACAACUGGCAGCUGUCUUAGAACCAUGAAGGGAAACAGCCUUGCAAGGAAGUUCUCGGCCAAACAGUGAGAUCUCAGCAGAGGAGUGAGAUAGAAAGAAUCCUGAGUGCCUGAAGAUGGGCUCGCACUGAUUCAUCAAUCUUGAAGCUCACAUCAUUGUCUCUGAAUGACUACUUAAAAUGUGAAAUAAUACAUUUCCUUGAUAUUUAAGCAAA